GAACCGAUUUCCGCUUCGGCCUCAUUCAGUAGUCAUUGUGCCACUGUAUGGAGAGACCAAGAAUGAUGCACUUGAGCUGAAUUAGCAUCUUCAAGAUCCAGAGCUCUGUGGCUGCUUCUGUAUGAUAGGACAGAAAUUAAUAAUGGGCACACUUGAGCAUACUUAAGGAUUCAUCUACAGUCAGUGAUCUUUAUGUUUGCAUCUACCUGUUAGGAGCGUGGAGAUCAGUUAAUCACCUGUUCUCUGUACUCUUCAGAGUGGACCCAUUUGGGCUGAUUCAGCACCUUCCGUGGUCAUAGGCUCUGUGGUCGCAUACGUGUGCUGGCAGCAUGGAGACCAGUAAUGGGCUCAUGUGAGCUGAUGUAAGCAUCGUUCAUGGUGUUGAGCUCCUGGUUCCAUCUUUUUGUUAGGGGCAUGGAGACCAAUCCUUGGAAAGGACGCCCUUGAGCUGACGUAAGCAUCCUUCAGGGCCGUGAAUGCCAUGGUUACACCGCCGCGUUAGGAACAUGGAGACCAAUAAUGGGCACUGCCACACCAGUUCUGGCAUUCUGCCUGGCCUUGAAUUCAGAGGUUGUCUUAGGAGCAUGGAGACCACCAGUGUGUG